rnacentral:rRNA from 1 species
GACGAACGCUGGCGGCGUGCUUAACACAUGCAAGUCGAACGGAAAGGCCCUGCUUUUGUGGGGUGCUCGAGUGGCGAACGGGUGAGUAACACGUGAGUAACCUGUCCUUGACUUUGGGAUAACUUCAGGAAACUGGGGCUAAUACCGGAUAGGAGCUCCUGCUGCAUGGUGGGGGUUGGAAAGUUUCGGCGGUUGGGGAUGGACUCGCGGCUUAUCAGCUUGUUGGUGGGGUAGUGGCUUACCAAGGCUUUGAGGGGUAGCCGGCCUGAGAGGGUAACCGGCCACAUUGGGACUGGGAUACGGCACAGACUACUACGGGAGGCAACGGUGGGGAAUAGUGCACAAUGGGAGGAAGCCUGAUGCAGCAACGCCGCGUGCGGGAUGACGGCCUUCGGGUUGUAAAGCGCUUUCGCCUGUGACGAAGCGUGAGUGACGGUAAUGGGUAAAGAAGCACCGGCUAACUACGUG